AACGCACCUUGCGCUCCUUGGUAUUCCGAGGAGCAUGCCUGUUUGAGUGUCAUUAAAUUCUCAACCUUCCAUGGGUUUUGCGAUCCGUGCGAACGGCUUGGAUUUUGGGGCGUGCUGGCCUUCGUCGGUCGGCUCCCCUUAAAAGCAUCAGCGGAAGUCUCUGGGUCCUCUUCACCCUUUCUUUCGGUGCUCGGUGUGAUAAUCGUCUCGCCGUCUCCGUGCAAGAAGGUGGACCUUUUCCGCUCACAAUCGUCCGAAAGGACAAUGUUAUCAACCUUGACCUCAAAUCAGGUAGGAUUACCCGCUGAACUUAA
rnacentral:misc_RNA from 1 species